GUAGGGAAUAUUGGGCAAUGGAUGAAAGUCUGACCCAGCCAUGCCGCGUGCCGGAUGAAGGCGCUCAGCGUUGUAAACGGCUUUUAUUCGGGAAGAAGAGCAGGGAUGCGUCCCUGUGUGACGGUACUGAAUGAAUAAGCACCGGCUAACUCCGUGCCAGCAGCCGCGGUAAUACGGAGGGUGCGAGCGUUGUCCGGAUUUAUUGGGUUUAAAGGGUGCGUAGGUGGCCAAAUAAGUCAGUGGUGAAAUACGGUUGCUCAACAAUCGAGGUGCCAUGGAUACUGCUUGGCUUGAAAUAAUUGGAGGCUGCCGGAAUGGAUGGUGUAGCGGUGAAAUGCAUAGAUAUCAUCCAGAACACCGAUUGCGAAGGCAGGUGGCUACGAUUUAUUUGACACUGAGGCACGAAAGCAUGGGGAGCAAACAGGAUUAGAAACCCGGGUAGUCC
rnacentral:rRNA from 1 species